rnacentral:rRNA from 1 species
UACGUAGGGGGCAAGCGUUGUCCGGAAUCAUUGGGCGUAAAGAGCGUGUAGGCGGCCAGAUAAGUCCGCUGUGAAAUCUCGAGGCUCAACUUCGAGCUGUCGGUGGAAACUGUCUGGCUAGAGUCCGGAAGAGGAGAAUGGAAUUCCUGGUAUAGCGGUGAAAUGCGCAGAUAUCAAGGAAGAACACCCGUGGCGAAGGCGGUUCUCUGGGCAUUACCUGACGCUGAGGAGCGAAAGUGUGGGGAGCAAACAGG